rnacentral:sRNA from 1 species
CCAGACUGUUCCAGAAACAGCCUGGGGAUUCUGAAUGUUUCCCAGAGAAUCAUUAGGAAUUAUCCCAGCGGCGCUGGAGUCAACAACGGUUCCGGCCUCAGGGAUGAGUGCAUCACAAACCUACUGGUGUUUGGCUUCCUCCAAAGCUGCUCUGACAACAGCUUCCGCAGAGAGCUGGAUGCACUGGGCCACGAGCUGCCAGUGCUGGCUCCCCAGUGGGAGGGCUACGAUGAGCUGCAGACUGACGGCAACCGCAGCAGCCACUCCCGCUUGGGAAGAAUAGAGGCAGAUUCUGAAAGUCAAGAAGACAUCAUCCGGAAUAUUGCCAGG